UACGUAGGGAGCAAGCGUUGUCCGGAAUCAUUGGGCGUAAAGCGCGCGUAGGUGGCUUCGUAAGUCCGGUGUGAAAGUCAAAGGCUCAACCUUUGAACGCCGAUGGAUACUGCGGAGCUAGAGUACGGAAGAGGCGAGUGGAAUUCCUGGUGUAGCGGUGGAAUGCGCAGAUAUCAGGAGGAACACCAAUAGCGAAGGCAGCUCGCUGGGACGUUACUGACACUGAGGCGCGAAAGCGUGGGGAGCGAACAGG
rnacentral:rRNA from 1 species